rnacentral:rRNA from 1 species
CCUACGGGAGGCAGCAGUGGGGAAUUUUGCGCAAUGGGGGAAACCCUGACGUAGCAACGCCGCGUGAGUGAUGAAGGCCUUCGGGUCGUAAAGCUCUUUUAGUGGGGAAGAAUCCCACCCGGGCCAAUACCUCGGGUGUCUGACGGUACCCACAGAAAAAGUUCCGGCUAACUACGUGCCAGCAGCCGCGGUAAUACGUAGGGAGCAAGCGUUGUUCGGAAUUAUUGGGCGUAAAGAGCGCGUAGGCGGUUCGGUAAGUCUGAUGUGAAAUCCCAGAGCUCAACUCUGGAACUGCAUUGGAUACUGCCGAGCUUGAGUGUGGGAGAGGAGAGUGGAAUUCCCAGUGUAGAGGUGAAAUUCGUAGAUAUUGGGAGGAACACCCGUGGCGAAGGCGGCUCUCUGGACCACAACUGACGCUGAGGCGCGAAAGCUAGGGUAGCAAACGGGAUUAGAUACCCCGGUAGUCCUAGCCGUAAACGAUGGGCACUAGGUGUUGGAGGUAUCGACCCCUCCAGUGCCGCAGCUAACGCAUUAAGUGCCCCGCCUGGGGAGUACGGUCGCAAGACUAAAACUCAAAGGAAUUGACGG